rnacentral:rRNA from 1 species
GAUGAACGCUGGCGGCGUGCCUAAUACAUGCAAGUCGAGCGAACAGACGAGGAGCUUGCUCCUCUGACGUUAGCGGCGGACGGGUGAGUAACACGUGGAUAACCUACCUAUAAGACUGGGAUAACUUCGGGAAACCGGAGCUAAUACCGGAUAAUAUAUUGAACCGCAUGGUUCAAUAGUGAAAGACGGUUUUGCUGUCUCUUAUAGAUGGAUCCGCGUCGGAUUAGCUAGUUGGUAAGGUAACGGCUUACCAAGGCGACGAUGCGUAGCUGACCUGAGAGGGUGAUCGGCCACACUGGAACUGAGACACGGUCCAGACUCCUACGGGAGGCAGCAGUAGGGAAUCUUCCACAAUGGGCGAAAGCCUGACGCAGCAACGCCGCGUGAGUGAUGAAGGUCUUCGGAUCGUAAAACUCUGUUAUUAGGGAAGAACAAAUGUGUAAGUAACUAUGCACGUCUUGACGGUACCUAAUCAGAAAGCCACGGCUAACUACGUG